rnacentral:rRNA from 10 species
GGAAUCUGGGAGGACCAUCUCCUAAGGCUAAAUACUCUCUAGUGACCGAUAGUGAACCAGUACCGUGAGGGAAAGGUGAAAAGCACCCCGGAAGGGGAGUGAAAUAGAACCUGAAACCGUGUGCUUACAAGUAGUCAGAGCCCGUUAAUGGGUGAUGGCGUGCCUUUUGUAGAAUGAACCGGCGAGUUACGAUUUGAUGCAAGGUUAAGCAGUAAAUGUGGAGCCGUAGCGAAAGCGAGUCUGAAUAGGGCGUUUAGUAUUUGGUCGUAGACCCGAAACCAGGUGAUCUACCCUUGGUCAGGUUGAAGUUCAGGUAACACUGAAUGGAGGACCGAACCGACUUACGUUGAAAAGUGAGCGGAUGAACUGAGGGUAGCGGAGAAAUUCCAAUCGAACCUGGAGAUAGCUGGUUCUCUCCGAAAUAGCUUUAGGGCUAGCCUCAAGUGAUGAUUAUUGGAGGUAGAGCACUGUUUGGACGAGGGGCCCCUCUCGGGUUACCGAAUUCAGACAAACUCCGAAUGCCAAUUAAUUUAACUUGGGAGUCAGAACAUGGGUGAUAAGGUCCGUGUUCGAAAGGGAAACAGCCCAGACCACCAGCUAAGGUCCCAAAAUAUAUGUUAAGUGGAAAAGGAUGUGGCGUUGCCCAGACAACUAGGAUGUUGGCUUAGAAGCAGCCAUCAUUUAAAGAGUGCGUAAUAGCUCACUAGUCGAGUGACACUGCGCCGAAAAUGUACCGGGGCUAAACAUAUUACCGAAGCUGUGGAUUGUCCUUUGGACAAUGGUAGGAGAGCGUUCUAAGGGCGUUGAAGCAUGAUCGUAAGGACAUGUGGAGCGCUUAGAAGUGAGAAUGCCGGUGUGAGUAGCGAAAGACGGGUGAGAAUCCCGUCCACCGAUUGACUAAGGUUUCCAGAGGAAGGCUCGUCCGCUCUGGGUUAGUCGGGUCCUAAGCUGAGGCCGACAGGCGUAGGCGAUGGAUAACAGGUUGAUAUUCCUGUACCACCUAUAAUCGUUUUAAUCGAUGGGGGGACGCAGUAGGAUAGGCGAAGCGUGCGAUUGGAUUGCACGUCUAAGCAGUAAGGCUGAGUAUUAGGCAAAUCCGGUACUCGUUAAGGCUGAGCUGUGAUGGGGAGAAGACAUUGAGUCUUCGAGUCGUUGAUUUCACACUGCCGAGAAAAGCCUCUAGAUAGAAAAUAGGUGCCCGUACCGCAAACCGACACAGGUAGUCAAGAUGAGAAUUCUAAGGUGAGCGAGCGAACUCUCGUUAAGGAACUCGGCAAAAUGACCCCGUAACUUCGGGAGAAGGGGUGCUCUUUAGGGUUAACGCCCAGAAGAGCCGCAGUGAAUAGGCCCAAGCGACUGUUUAUCAAAAACACAGGUCUCUGCUAAACCGUAAGGUGAUGUAUAGGGGCUGACGCCUGCCCGGUGCUGGAAGGUUAAGAGGAGUGGUUAGCUUCUGCGAAGCUACGAAUCGAAGCCCCAGUAAACGGCGGCCGUAACUAUAACGGUCCUAAGGUAGCGAAAUUCCUUGUCGGGUAAGUUCCGACCCGCACGAAAGGCGUAACGAUUUGGGCACUGUCUCAACGAGAGACUCGGUGAAAUCAUAGUACCUGUGAAGAUGCAGGUUACCCGCGACAGGACGGAAAGACCCCGUGGAGCUUUACUGUAGCCUGAUAUUGAAAUUCGGCACAGCUUGUACAGGAUAGGUAGGAGCCUUUGAAACGUGAGCGCUAGCUUACGUGGAGGCGCUGGUGGGAUACUACCCUAGCUGUGUUGGCUUUCUAACCCGCACCACUUAUCGUGGUGGGAGACAGUGUCAAGCGGGCAGUUUGACUGGGGCGGUCGCCUCCUAAAAGGUAACGGAGGCGCUCAAAGGUUCCCUCAGAAUGGUUGGAAAUCAUUCAUAGAGUGUAAAGGCAUAAGGGAGCUUGACUGCGAGACCUACAAGUCGAGCAGGGUCGAAAGACGGACUUAGUGAUCCGGUGGUUCCGCAUGGAAGGGCCAUCGCUCAACGGAUAAAAGCUACCCCGGGGAUAACAGGCUUAUCUCCCCCAAGAGUUCACAUCGACGGGGAGGUUUGGCACCUCGAUGUCGGCUCAUCGCAUCCUGGGGCUGUAGUCGGUCCCAAGGGUUGGGCUGUUCGCCCAUUAAAGCGGUACGCGAGCUGGGUUCAGAACGUCGUGAGACAGUUCGGUCCCUAUCCGUCGUGGGCGUAGGAAAUUUGAGAGGAGCUGUCCUUAGUACGAGAGGACCGGGAUGGACAUACCUCUGGUGUACCAGUUGUCGUGCCAACGGCAUAGCUGGGUAGCUAUGUGUGGACGGGAUAAGUGCUGAAAGCAUCUAAGCAUGAAGCCCCCCUCAAGAUGAGAUUUCCCAACUUCGGUUAUAAGAUCCCUCAAAGAUGAUGAGGUUAAUAGGUUCGAGGUGGAAGCAUGGUGACAUGUGGAGCUGACGAAUACUAAUCGAUCGAAGACUUAAUCAA